rnacentral:rRNA from 1 species
UACGUAAGGGGCGAGCGUUACUCGGAUUUACUGGGCGUAAAGGGCGUGUAGGCGGCUGCGCAAGUUGAAUGUAAAAGAUCAAGGCUUAACCUUGGGACUGCGUUCAAAACUGCGCGGCUAGAAUCUGGUGGAGGGUGAUGGAAUUCCCGGUGUAGCGGUGAAAUGCGUAGAUAUCGGGAAGAACACCAAAGGCGAAGGCAAUCAUCCAUGCUGAGAUUGACGCUGAGGCGCGAAAGCGUGGGGAGCGAACAGG